GAGAGUGUUCCAUGCAAUGCGGGCAUCCCAUUUUUCCAUGUGUUCCCCCAACCGGACAACAUGCCAUAUGCGGGAAAGUCGUUUAUAGUCCACAUCAAGGCUGCUCGCAUAGUAAAGUUUUGUUUGCAAGAUAUAUCAUAAGUCCAUUCUCCAAUCCAUAACCUCUUCAAAUCAUCAAUUAAAGGUUGUAAAUACACAUCUAUUCCAGCUUUUGGACUCUU
rnacentral:lncRNA from 1 species